rnacentral:rRNA from 1 species
UAACAAUCCUUCGGGUGCGUUAAUGGGCGUCGAGCGGCGGACGGGUGAGUAAUGCCUAGGAAAUUGCCUUGAUGUGGGGGAUAACCAUUGGAAACGAUGGCUAAUACCGCAUGAUGCCUACGGGCCAAAGAGGGGGACCUUCGGGCCUCUCGCGUCAAGAUAUGCCUAGGUGGGAUUAGCUAGUUGGUGAGGUAAUGGCUCACCAAGGCGACGAUCCCUAGCUGGUCUGAGAGGAUGAUCAGCCACACUGGAACUGAGACACGGUCCAGACUCCUACGGGAGGCAGCAGUGGGGAAUAUUGCACAAUGGGCGCAAGCCUGAUGCAGCCAUGCCGCGUGUAUGAAGAAGGCCUUCGGGUUGUAAAGUACUUUCAGUUGUGAGGAAGGG